rnacentral:rRNA from 1 species
UACAGAGGGUGCGAGCGUUAAUUCGGAAUUACUGGGCGUAAAGCGUCGCGGUAGGCGGCUUUGCAAGUCGGGUGUGAAAUCCCCAGGCUUAACCUGGGAACUGCAUUCGAGACUGCAUUGCUAGAGUAUGGGAGAGGGAAGAUGGAAUUUCCGGUGUAGCGGUGAAAUGCGUAGAUAUCGGAAGGAACAUCAGUGGCGAAGGCGGCUAUCUGGCCCUGUAAU